UACGUAGGGUGCGAGCGUUGUCCGGAAUUAUUGGGCGUAAAGGGCUCGUAGGCGGUCUGUCGCGUCGGGAGUGAAACACGGGGCUUAACCCGUGCCUGCUUCCGAUACGGGCAGACUAGAGGUAUGCAGGGGAGAACGGAAUUCCUGGUGUAGCGGUGAAUGCGCAGAUAUCAGGAGGAACACCGGUGGCGAAGGCGGUUCUCUGGGCAUGUCCUGACGCUGAGGAGCGAAGGUCAGGGAGCAAACGGG
rnacentral:rRNA from 1 species